rnacentral:rRNA from 1 species
AUGUCUAGCUGUCUCACUGAUAUGAUAAAUGCCAAUGAGGUAGAUUUUAUUGGUCUACAAGAAACUAUGAAAGAGACAUAUAGGCCUUCCUUUUUUAGGAAGCUAGAUCCAAGCCAAAAGUUCCAUUGGGAAUGGGUCCCUUCUAGGGGGGAAUCUGGAGGUAUCCUUUGUGGGCUUACUAAAGGUAAUUUUGAUAUCCUUAUGACUAAACAUGGUAAAUACAUCCUACAGUUAGAUCUGUUCAAUAAGAACAAAAACCGUGGUUGGUCUUUGAUGAUUGUAUAUGGUGCUGCUCACGAUGAGCAUAAACCUAAAUUCAUCGCAGAACUGUCCUCUAUGUGUCAUAAUACUAGUAAGCCAUAUUUGGUUGGGGGGUUUAAAAUCAUUCAUCACGGUGGGGAGAAAAACAAAAAAACAGCUAUGUCUCAUUUUUCAUAUGUGUUUAACUCUGUCAUACACCUGCUUGGAUUGAGGGAAAUUUGUAUGACAGGUGGUUGUUAUACUUGGUCCAAUAAACAGGAAAACCCAACUCUAGAAAAGUUGGAUAGGGUGCUGAUGUCUCCUGAUUGGGAGGAUUUAUAUCCCCUUGUCUCUGUUAACAAGUUGGUCAAAGAAUUAUCUGACCACAACCCCUUGCUGUUGGAUGGAGGGAGGGCUUCUUCUAGAGCACCAGGGAAUAGGGUUAUUAGAUUUGACAAUGCUUGGCUUAACAAUCCAGACUUUGUCCCUCUGGUAACUGAGAUUUGGUCAAGGCCAGUGUACAUUAUCAACCCCAUCGACGCUUUAAACAUUAAGCUGAAGAGGUUCAAGAAUUUUAUUAAAGGGUGGGGGUCUAAUCUAUUUGGGCACAACAAAAUCAUAAAGAGGCUUAUCAACCUCGAGCUACAGGAGCUUUAA